UUACUGGGCGUAAAGCGCGUGUAGGUGGUUUGGUAAGUAGGGCGUGAAAGCUCCUGGCUCAACUGGGAGAGGACGUUCUAAACAGCCAAGCUUGAGGAUGGUAGAGGGAGGUGGAAUUCCGGGUGUAGCGGUGGAAUGCGCAGAUAUCCGGAGGAACACCAGUGGCGAAGGCGGCCUCCUGGACCACUCCUGACACUCAGACGCGAAAGCUAGGGUAGCAAACGGGAUUAGAGACCCCGGUAGUCCUAGCCCUAAACGACGUAGACUUGGCGUCGGUGGUUUAAUCGCCAUCGGUGUCGUAGCUAACGCGAUAAGUCUACCGCCUGGGGACUACGGCCGCAAGGUUAAAACUCAAAGGAAUUGACGGGUCCCCGCACAAGCAGCGGAGCGUGUGGUUUAAUUCGAUGCUACACGAAGAACCUUACCUGGGUUUGACAUAGAGGUAGUAGGGAAGCGAAAGCGGACCGACCCUUCGGGGAGCCUCUACAGGUGUUGCAUGGCUGUCGUCAGCUCGUGUCGUGAGAUGUUCGGUUAAGUCCGCUAACGAGCGCAACCCUCGCUGUGUGUUACAAGUGUCAUACGGUACUGCCGAUAUUAAGUCGGAGGAAGGUGGGGAUGACGUCAAGUCAGCAUGACCUUUAUAUCCAGGGCUACACACACGCUACAAUGGCCAGUACAAUGGGUUGCCAAGCCGCGAGGCGGAGCCAAUCCUAAAAAGCUGGCCUCAGUUCAGAUUGCAGUCUGCAACUCGACUGCAUGAAGUUGGAGUUGCUAGUAACCGCAGGUCAGCAAUACUGCGGUGAAUACGUUCCCGGGGAUUGCACACACCGCCCGUAAGGGCGAAUUC
rnacentral:rRNA from 1 species